rnacentral:rRNA from 1 species
UGGGGAAUAUUGGGCAAUGGGCGCAAGCCUGACCCAGCGACGCCGCGUGGGCGAUGAAGGCCUUCGGGUUGUAAAGCCCUGUCAUGUGGAAAGAACAGUCUCGUGGUGAAUAUCCACGGGAUUUGACGGUACCACAGGAGGAAGCACCGGCUAACUCCGUGCCAGCAGCCGCGGUAAUACGGCGGGUGCAAGCGUUGUUCGGAAUUAUUGGGCGUAAAGGGCGCGUAGGCGGUUGUGAAAGACAGAUGUGAAAUACUUCGGCUUAACUGGAGAACUGCAUCUGAAACUUCAUAACUCGAGUACAGGAGAGGGGAACGGAAUUCCCGGUGUAGAGGUGAAAUUCGUAGAUAUCGGGAGGAACACCAGUGGCGAAGGCGGUUUCCUGGCCUGAUACUGACGCUGAGGCGCGAAAGCGUGGGGAGCAAACA